rnacentral:lncRNA from 1 species
CCGCUGUCGCCGAGCGUCGGAGCCCGAGGGGCCGCGGCCGCGCGCCGCGGGGGGAGGAGAUGGUCUGGAGUCCCCCCGCUGCGCCGGGGAUGGGGAGACGGAGGACUGCAGCGCCCCUUGGGGCUUCUGAGGCGCCCAGGUAACCUCACCUGGCCGCCAGUCUCCCGCAGGAGGAACAGACACGUUGGUUCCACACCGAACCUAUUAACAGCUCAACUUCAAAUAUUUGGCAGAGGUGGGAUUGCUGUUCACUAAGGCCUGUGGCAAGGUGGAAACAUCAGGGCAGAAGAACAUAACUGAUAAUAGCUGUUCACACCUAAGUAGCCAGGAAGCAGAGAGAAAUGGAGACCAGCCUACGAGGACACAUUCCUAGUGACCUUCUUCCCAACUUUGGGUGUCCACCAAUUCACAAGAACACCAUUAAUUACGAAUUCAUCAACAAAUCAAUUCAUCAAUUAAGUUAAAGCUCCCAUGUGCAAUCACUUCCCUACAUCCUCCCGUCUGAACAUCCUCACCAUUGAGAAUCAAGCCUUCAACACGAGUCUGGGCACAAUAAGUCACAUUGAAUCCAUUGAAGAUGUAAAUUUUAACGGUUGAAAGUGACAAGCAUAGUAUGUCUGUGAAAGUCAGUAAAGGGAAUAU